rnacentral:rRNA from 1 species
CCUACGGGAGGCAGCAGUGAGGAAUAUUGGUCAAUGGGCGCAAGCCUGAACCAGCCAAGUCGCGUGAGGGAUGACGGUCCUAUGGAUUGUAAACCUCUUUUGUCGGGGAGCAAGGCCCGCCACGCGUGGCGGGCAGGAAAGUACCCGCAGAAAAAGCAUCGGCUAACUCCGUCCCAGAAGCCGCGGUAAUACGGAGGAUGCGAGCGUUAUCCGGAUUUAUUGGGUUUAAGGGGUGCGUAGGCGGAAGGUUAAGUCAGCGGUCAAAUGCCGGUGCCCAACACCGGCCUGCCGUUGAAACUGGUCGGCUGGAGUGAGCGAGAAGUAUGCGGAAUGCGUGGUGUAGCGGUGAAAUGCAUAGAGAUCACGCAGAACUCCGAUUGCGAAGGCAGCAUACCGGCGCUCAACUGACGCUGAGGCACGAAAGCGUGGGGAGCGAACAGGAUUAGAUACCCGAGUAGUC